rnacentral:lncRNA from 1 species
UCAAAAAUCAGUUCAGAUUGCAAGUAUUUAAGAAUAUGAAGGUCUCCCCUUGGAAAAUUGUUCUCCCUCUACAAUGUUGAAGAUUUAUUUGUAUGUAUUUUACUUGUUAUUUCUUGAUGGAAAAUUUGUUCAAGUUACAUCCUUGUACCUGAUUUAUUAACAAGGAUCUUCCAAACUAGUUUAUACACAAGUUUGGUGGCAUUUAUAGACACCAAAAGGAAAAAGGCAGCCAGGGGCAGAGAUUCAAAAUUCAGAAGAACUGUGGG